rnacentral:rRNA from 1 species
UACGAAGGGUGCAAGCGUUACUCGGAAUUACUGGGCGUAAAGCGUGCGUAGGUGGUGCGUUAAGUCUGUCGUGAAAUCCCCGGGCUCAACCUGGGAAUGGCGAUGGAUACUGGCGCGCUAGAGUGAGGUAGAGGGGUGUGGAAUUCCAGGUGUAGCGGUGAAAUGCGUAGAUAUCUGGAGGAACAUCAGUGGCGAAGGCGACACCCUGGACUCAUACUGACACUGAGGUGCGAAAGCGUGGGGAGCAAACAGG